rnacentral:tRNA from 1 species
UGCGGGGUAGAUUAAAGGUAAAUCGAUGCGCUCUGGACGCAUAAAUCGGGGUUCAAGUCCCUGCCCCGCAG